CACACACACACUCCAUUUUUCUCCUCUUUCCCCCUACGGCGGUUUCUGGCCGCCGCCCCGUCCAGUUAAGGUCGCCGCCCAGUCGUCAGAUCGGAGGUCCACGGGUGAGAAGGGAGCGGAGGAGGAGGGAGGUGUGCCGGAGGGCUUGAGCGCCUACACGACGAGCGGCGGCAACGACCACCACCACCAGGCACUCGACGAGUUGGAUCGUUCCCUCACCAUGGCGUCGGAGAAAGAGGCGGCGCUCGCCGCCGUGCCCAACGAGAACCCCACCAUGUGAAUCUCCUGCACCCCCUUUCCCCGCACUGAUCCGUCGCAAGCUUAGUUGUUCCUCUGUUGACUGCUCGAUCUGCUGGAGCCUGGAGCGCCCUUCAUUGAUAUACGCUGUGGGAUCGUAGAUUUGGGUUGUGAUUUUUUUCAGUACCGCCCCGAUUAAUUGAGUGUGGAUUGCAAGAUUAGUAUUUAUAAAUGGGUAGUGUCUACGGAAUUUGGGGCAGCUGGUAAGUACCCGAGCUUCCUCUACGCCCACCACAUCUCCCAAAGGUCGUGGGAUGGAUUGGCGCAGCAGGCCACGUCCACCGCAACGCACCACACGCACGGUCUCCGCAGUCGACACCACCGCCUACCCAACGCUCCGUCCAAUUCUGGCCGGCGAUGAGGUUGACCUACCGGCAGUUGUUUGAGGCAGGUGGAGGUGCUUUCUGGCGUAGAUGGCGGAAGCGACGAGGUGGCCAGCGCCAGAUCUUCGUGGAAUGGGCGCGGUGGCGUUAGCGGCUUUGAGGUGCGGCGAUAGACGCCAUCUGGGUGGUAGAGGUGAUCCAGCGGUGGUGCUCGGGAGUUGGAGGAGCUGGAAAUUGGCGGUACGACGAAUUUCGGCGUGACGAGGCGCUGCACAAGGCGUUUGGUUGUGUUCCACUCGCCCUCAACUCCUGAUCCAUCCUUACAGAUAUCUGCAUGGUCGUUGAUGUAACUGAUGAUGCCAGAGGUGCUCUACAUGAGAGAGGAGAGUGAUGAGAUGAACCCCUGCUACCGCCGCCUCUCUGCAUUGUUGUAGCGUGCUUCCCCGACGGACAAGAGGGACAUCCUCGCCGAGAUCAGCUUGCUUUGAUGAUGGGUUGCCGAUAUUCACCAUUAGAAAGGAGAAUCUGGUGCUGGUUGUGACUUGUGAGGCUUCUUAACAGCAACAUGUACAACCACCAAUCUGAUGGACUAAAGGUUCCGGUUCAUGCCAAGCUACGCCACGGGUAUCGCGAGAUUCAGUAGAGACAUAACAUUCUCUUCUAUCCCCAUAAGUGAGAUCACAACUUAUUGUUGCUACCUUAUAUUAAUUGAAUUAGUGUUUGAAGCAUAAGCAUACAUAGCACAAUUUCUACAUUACAGUGGACUUUUGCGAUUGGACUAUAAGAGCAAGAAGGAUAACCUGCCUCUUGCUCGCCUGAUAGCAAAUUUGAUUAUGGAUAUGUAAUCUUAGGGAUCUUUCUUCACUUCAAUUUAGAUUUUUCUUGAGAUCUAAACCUACAAUGUUGAUGAUCCGGUAAGGUGUAUCUGUGUGCAUAAUUGCAGUGGAUGGGAUGGAAGGCAAUAAAUACUUUAUAUAAAAAAGGUGAAAUAUGGGAGGAAAAUACUCAAUAAAGAAAUUUUGGUGGCCAAAAUCAUCUUCUACAUGAUGUUUUCAUUAGUUUUCUGUUAUAUUAUCACAUAAUAGGAAAGUGUUUUGCUCUUAGAUGCAACAAUUACUAUUUUUACAUUUUGGUGAAACCUAAACUCAUACUUUCUUAGUGUUAGCCUUUUGCAUAUAUGGUGCACUGAAACUUAUAUGGUUAUGUUUUGUCUGUGCGACUCUGCAAAUUUAUAGGCGCAAAUUUACAGGGUUGUUGGAAUGUGUCAUUGCCUCAUUGGCAUACCAAUUAUUCAUUCCACGUAGGCCUUGCUUUAUCCUUCAUUUUGUCUCUUUUGUUGCCUGAAGAUAUAGACACCACCACAUUUUAUCUUUGUUCGCUUAUUGUCUCUUCUUGGACCCUUGAGCAUGAACGCUUCUUCACAUCAGAUGCUUGCUGAUUUAUUUUUUGUGUGAUUAAAAGCAUUGUUGUGUGAGCGGAACCUGCAUUAUUGCCUUGGUAUGUGUGCUAGGUCUGUUGUUCACAUAUUUUACCACAGCCAUAAAAUGUGCUUGAUGGACCUCAACUGUGACCUUUACCUACAUAAUUUCUCAUUACACAUUAUUACUACCUCUGUUCCUAAAUAUAAGAUGUCUUGGGAUUUCAAAUUGAGCUCCCAAAACAUCUUAUAUUUAGGAAUGAAUAGAAUAAUUCUUUACUUAUGUUUCUUUGUGGUUUGUAGCGGUUGUAUUUCACCGUCGACUAUGGUAGAGUUUCAGGUAUGGGUUUAUAGACAGCUGUUUCUUGAUCCUCCGCAUACGCUAUAUGCAACCCAUAUCGCAAGAAAAUAUAAGUGGAGCAAAAAUAAAGAACAGCUGAAAGCUCACAAAACAGCCCAAUGCAAAUUUUAUCCCCCAGCUGAUGGAGGCAGCUUGGGGUAAAAUAAAGGCCUUUCCACCGAUUCAAAUGGACGGUGAUAUUUAGAAAUGAUGACUAUGUCCUGGGCCAAUUUCUAUAUGAAACUGGGUAGCAGUCAACGAAUGGAGGCAGCUUGGUCUAACAAAGAACUGUUUACCUGUCUAAAUGGAAGUCGAAAGACUUUUUUGAAUCUGCAUCCCUCUGUGGAUGAUGACUUUCGUGGGGUUGUCUUAUAAAUUGGGCCGUCGUCGUAUCUAUUCCACCCACAGUAAAGAAUAAUAGAAUUCUGCCCCAAUUUAGAAAUGAAGAGUUUCUCAACACUCACCACUACUGUAACCAUCUGCAACAUGUGUAUUCUCCCAGUGGAACCCUGCCUCAGGUCAUCGUGGACGGCAAUUCCUUCGCUCCUGCAACCCCUCAGUGUGGCAAUGAGAGCAACCGUGAGAGAAGCGCUGGCCUGAGUGACCUCUCACGACCUAGGAGGUCGUCCCCGGCUAAGCUGCCGCUGGCUACACAUAUAUAUAUGGCUUGGAGCCCCUCCAGUGCCAACGCUGACUCCAGUGGCUCCCAAAUUCUUCAGUUGUGGCUUCUGUUCUGGCCCGUGAAUCUUCUGCUUGGGAGAUGCGGUAGAAAAGGAACAAGAGAAGAUUCAUCGUGCUAGGUGCUCCCGGUCCCCGACAUAUGUCAGCUACAAGUUAUUUUGGACUUCAGUUUUCUGAUAUUUAGACAUGGAGCCUAAUAGUUGGUGUAGAAGACAUAUAUACUGGUCCUUGGCAAAAUUCUGCAGAACGUUUUUUUUGUCAAAGUAACACAAUCAGCAUAAGUGUUGCGGAAAUCAACAGUUAUAGAGUAGUAGAGUAGUUUAUUAUGUUUCCUUUUUUAGAUAUAUGUGUUUUGGUGUCAUCCUCCAGAAUUCUGCAAGUGUCAUCAAUUAUAUUUUGCCAAUUGUUGCAUCAUCAGCAUUUUUGUAUUUUUUUUGUGUUUAUGAAGGCAUAUUUAGUACACAUGUUGUUUAGUCCUUUUGAUGCCAAUAAAUAUAGUUUUUUUUUACUUUAUAAUACUUGAGCAUUGCAUUGACCAUGUUGUGCCAGAACGGCAUGUAGCCGGCGAGGCGAAGCUCGCAUGUUCAUCUAGUACAGUAUAGCAUUGCAGCAAUGGAGGCACAAGGAUAUUGCCACAAGCAAGAACACAUUUUUUUACCAUCCACAACUGUUGGAAGAUUAAUCAAGAACAUAGUGAAAAUUGGACAUUGAUGGACCAAGAGGCUCCUCCUCUACGAAGGUGCUCCCAUUACUUUGGACGACGAUGAUAGUGAUGAUCCACUGAGAGGAGGGAGAAACAAAUGGAGGCCGGAUGGAUGAAGACGUCUAAAUCUAGAAGUGAAGAGAAGCUCCAAGAUCGAGAAGCUAAUGAGCGCCAAGCAAAAGAUAGCACAAGAGCAAUUUCAAACUAGAAAUGAGUUGGCCGAGAAGAAACAAGUCAAUAAAAUAAGGAAGUGUGAAUCAAUUAGAGAAGAGGAGAAGCAGAGUUUGAAGAUUGAAAGAUUCGACUUGAGAAAGAAAAGGGAUGAGAACAGGGUGAUGAUGAUGGAUCCAUUGAAUAUGGAUCCACUCACAAAAGAAUGGUGGAAGAUUUUGGGGGCCGAGAUAUUGGAAGGAAAAAAGGAAAUAAGAGAGAUUGUUGUUGCUCGUGUUGCUUUUGUUGUUCAUGGUGGUGAUGGUGGUGCCGCUUUUAUUUGUGGUGGUGGUGGUGCGACGGCGUUGGCGGUGCUUCUCUGGUAAGUAGUGCUGGUGAUGAUGGUGUUCGUGUUUGUGUUGAUGGCGGCUGCAAUGGCCCUUCUACUUCUUGUUGACCCACCAUGGUUUUCUGUCCAAACUUCCGUGCAUCGUAUGCCACCCUGUAUGGACUAUCAUUCGUUCAAAACUUUGCUGAUAUUUCGAACUAUUUAUGUUUU